GACGAACGCUGGCGGCGUGCUUAACACAUGCAAGUCGAGCGGUAAGGCCCUUUCGGGGGUACACGAGCGGCGAACGGGUGAGUAACACGUGGGUGACCUGCCCUCAGCUCUGGGAUAAGCCUGGGAAACCAGGUCUAAUACUGGAUAUGACUCCAAUGACGCAUGUUGUGGGGUGGAAAGCCUUGUGCGGCUGAGGAUGGGCCCGCGGCCUAUCAGUUUGUUGGUGGGGUGAUGGCCUACCAAGGCGA
rnacentral:rRNA from 1 species